ACUCAGAAUCUUUAUCGAUGAUUACAUAGUUUUUAUGAGGUUCAUCGAAGGUCUCCAUCAGAGCAUCCAAAAGGAGCUAAAAUUUUUCAAAGUUGCAGACAUCAACGAAGUUAGCAUGAAGAGCAUAGGGAUUGUGGAGAAGAAUUAGCCUAAGAAAGUCUAGAAUGAUGAAAAGUGCAAGAAAGAUAGUAGAAAAUCAAACUCAAAAGGACAA
rnacentral:lncRNA from 1 species